rnacentral:lncRNA from 1 species
UCUGCUGAAUGUUUUUAUUGUGUUCUAUUAUAAAGGCAAUAUUAAGCUUCUCAAUUAUCAACAUCAUACAUUUAUCACCCCUGUCUGAGGAAAAUAUGAAGAUUUGUUCACCUAAGAAAAAUCAUAUUUAACGAGGGCAUCGCCCGAGGGAAAAAUAACUUUUCAAUGGUGAACAAAUCUUCAUAUCUCACGCAGUCAAGGAAAAUGAAUGUUUUAUUCGACUGCCUAUACUUUUUUUUACUUCUGAAUACAAAAUUUACACAAUUGUUUUC